AUGGAGCCGGCCUUGAAAUACCACCCUUUAAUGUUUGAUGUUCUAACGUUGGCCCCUGAUCGGGGUUGCGGACAGUGUCUGGUGGGUAGUUUGACUGGGGCGGUCUCCUCCUAAAGAGUAACGGAGGAGCACGAAGGUUGGCUAAUCCUGGUCGGACAUCAGGAGGUUAGUGCAAUGGCAUAAGCCAGCUUGACUGCGAGCGUGACGGCGCGAGCAGGUGCGAAAGCAGGUCAUAGUGAUCCGGUGGUUCUGAAUGGAAGGGCCAUCGCUCAACGGAUAAAAGGUACUCCGGGGAUAACAGGCUGAUACCGCCCAAGAGUUCAUAUCGACGGCGGUGUUUGGCACCUCGAUGUCGGCUCAUCACAUCCUGGGGCUGAAGUAGGUCCCAAGGGUAUGGCUGUUCGCCAUUUAAAGUGGUACGCGAGCUGGGUUUAGAACGUCGUG
rnacentral:rRNA from 1 species